rnacentral:tRNA from 1 species
CUCCCCGCAGCCCAAUUGGCAGAGGCACCGUACUCACGAUGCGGUGGUUGCGAGUUCGAAUCUCGCUGGGGGAACCG